GCAGACGCUUAACCGACUGAGCCACCCAGGAGCCUCUUAACUGUGUCUUCUAGAAAGCAGAGCUUUAGCCGAGGAUUCAAGUGCCGAUGUGAUAUUUGCAAAUUGCAAGACCUUUGAGAUGAGGGUGAAGAAGAAUGGAAAGUGAGUCAAAGGAACACAUGAAGCUACGCAGCACGUUACUGGGCUGGCCAUUGCUCCGCAACAAGCCCCAAAAAGCCACGCAACUCAAUUGGUGGGCGUGCUCAUGCUGCACAUUGGAUUUUCUCUGAAAGAAUUUCAUGGAGAAACGAGUCCUCAGAGUAGUCCACAGAAGGGGGAAAUGAGGAGAAAUUUGUCAUGCGGCUCCCUGUCACCUUCCAUUUCCUAGCAGAUGCUCAGCCCCCUGUGUCACCUGAUCUGCCUCCACGGCAGUGGCUCAGAGGGCCAGAUGCCAUGCUCUGACCGUGGCGUGUUAUCCAAGUCUAGACCUCAGUAUGGUACACAGUACCAGCUGGCCACGUGGCCUGGGGAGUAGCCGGGGUUCCUGCCCCCUUGGGGAGGUUGUUAAAAGCAGUGGCAGGAUCAUGGUUCAGGAGACAAGCAGAACCUUGGGCAGGAAGCCAGAAAGGCAAUCCAGAGAGGCACCAGGUCAGGGUCAGCUACACUGUGUUUCAGGAAAAGGGGGACAAAUCAGGUGCACGUCACUCAAGAAUUCUUACCUUGGAGAUAAUUUCAUCAGAUACAGUUUUGUUACUUUCAAGGGCUCUACACAUUAUAAAGGAAAGCUUAAGUGUGUGAACGUCGUCCAUGAAAGCAUCCAGGUGUGCCGAGUUUCAUGCCAUAGCCCUGCUCCUGACAGAAAGGAAGAACUCCGUGUUUCAGGAGCCUGGCCAGAUGGACUUUUUACUCACUGAAGAUAAAGCCAGUGGCUUCCAGAUAUUGUAUGUUCUCAAAUGAAGUUGAAGGGCUUGCGUUUUUCUCAUGAGAUGGCUUCCGGCUGGCAGCUGUGGGCUGGGCUUUAGGGAGCCAGGACAGGGAAGGAAAACCAGACUGAAGCUGUCACCGAUUUCUGAUGACCUCAGGACAUGCCAAUGACAAAAUGCUGAUGAAUUAAGCUGAUUUUGCUCAACAGUGCCAAACUUUUAGGGUUAAUGGGAUUCAUUUCUUCACAGAGGGAGUCACACCUUGAGAUUUGAUUGACAACCACCGGUGAACAGUGUGAUGUUAACCUGAAAUACUCUCAGAGCCGUGCUACUUUAAUAAGGGUCACGUAUCGCUCUCUGAGUACCUGCUAGCACACUGAGGUCUAUUUCAGACUUGAAGCCCAAUUCUACCUAUAACUGAAGCAUACAAACAACACAGAAGUACUGGACGUCUUCCAAAGGCCCAUUUCUUAUAGGCAGGCCUUCAAUAAGCUUUAAUCUGCUGAUGUGAAGUCGGAAAGUCAGGGUAAGUCACAGUGGAUUCUUGGGAGAUACUAGAAUGGUAGAUGUUAAUGGGAGGAACAGU